rnacentral:rRNA from 1 species
GACGCCUAACUGGUCUGAGAGGACCAUCACGUCACACUGGAACUGAGACACGGUCCAGACUCCUACGGGAGGCAGCAGUGGGGGAUAUUGCACUAUGGGGGAAACCCCUGAUGCAGCAACGCCGCGUGGUAGGUAAGUACGCAUUUCGGUGUGUAAACUCCUUUUAUAUAGGAAGAUAAUGACGGUACUAUAUGACAUAAGCACCGGCUAACUCCGUGCCAGCAGCCGCGGUAAUACGGAGGGUGCAUAGCGUUACUCGGAAUCACUGGGCGUAAAGCGCACGCAGGCGGCUAAAUAAGUUGGAAGUGAAAUCCACUGGCUCAACCAGUGAACUGCUUCCACAACACUGUUUGGCUAGAGUCUGGGAGGGGCAAGAUGGAAUUAGUGGUGUAGGGGUAAAAUCCGUAGAGAUCACUAGGAAUACCAAAAGCGAAGGCGAUCUUCUGGAACAGUACUGACGCUGAGGUGCGAAAGCGUGGGGAGCAAACAGGAUUAGAUACCCUGGUAGUCCACGCAGUAAACGCUGAAUGUUAGUCGUCGGUGUGCUAGUCACAUCGGUGAUGCAGUUAACACAUUAAACAUUCCGCCUGGGGAGUACGGUCGCAAGAUUAAACUCAAAGGAAUAGACGGGGACCCGCACAAGUGGUGGAGCAUGUGGUUUAAUUCGAAGAUACGCGAAGAACCUUACCUGGCCUUGACAUUGAUAGAAUCUGCUAGAGAUAGCGGAGUGCCCUUCGGGGAGCUUGAAAACAGGUGCUGCACGGCUGUCGUCAGCUCGUGUCGUGAGAUGUUGGGUUAAGUCCCGCAACGAGCGCAACCCUCGUUACUAGUUACUAACGGUUCGGCCGAGGACUCUAGUAAGACUGCCUUCGCAAGGAGGAGGAAGGUGAGGACGACGUCAAGUCAUCAUGGCCCUUACGACCAGGGCGACACACGUGCUACAAUGGGAUGUACAAUGAGACGCAAUACCGCGAGGUGGAGCAAAUCUAUAAAGCAUCUCUCAGUUCGGAUAGCAGUCUGCAACUCGACUGCUUGAAGCUGGAAUCACUAGUAAUCGUAGAUCAGCCAUGCUACGGUGAAUACGUUCCCGGGUCUUGUACUCACCGCCCGUCACACCAUGGGAGUUGAUUUCACCCGAAGCGGGGAAGCUAAACUGGCUACCCUCCACGGUGGA